AUGUGGCAUUUCACUCUGACCCCACCUCGCUUCCCUUUCUGAACCAAUACGUGAUGAAUACAGAGACCAAUCCUCCCAUACGUAUUCAGAGACAAGCGGCUACCCAUACCUAUACUGUGGUCACGACCCCGCCAUGUGGGAGGAGCAAACCAUUCAAAAUUUGAAUCGGCUCCCAGUUCCUGACCGCAGCUCAAGAGCUCGGAGAGAAAUCCCCAAAAGAUCUUCCGUCCGUCGAUGGAGCGGCCGCCGCCAGGGAUGUACCCCGCGCCGGAAUCCUUCACCCAAAUUCCUUCUAAGCUUCUCCUCCAUCCCUUCUCAAGAUCCAAAUCUCGGUUGGACCCAGCUAGAAGAACAAGAGGAGGUGGGUGUGGCAGAUUUGACGGAUAGCGGAAACCAUUGCGGGGGCGGGAUCGACACCGAGCAUCAAUUCCAGUUCUCUGCCACGAGACCAGAUCCAACUUCCUCGAUUGCUGAGGCCGACGGCGAGGUGAGUUGUGAGAACUACGAUCUCCAGCUCUGCUCGCCACCGCGAGAUUUCCAUGGAUACACUUGGCCAGGAGAUGAAUGCUUGGAGUCGCCGCUGUCAGAGAUUCAGACACCUUAGUCUCCUGUCGAAGAACAGCAAACCACCACGCUUGACAGUAGCUCAAUCAGACCAAUCUGAUCCUGACCAAUGUCCAUGGAAGAGAAGGAUACAUCGUGGGAAAAUACCAGAUCAGCGUCAGCCUAAACAGGGAAGUGUAUGUGCGCUUGAAAAAGCAAUGCGUAGCUUUGUUCAAAGGAAGUCUGGACAAGUGGUUUCCCCUGAGAUUGAAAGAGAGUGUGACUCAUUCGCAGAGGCAUUUGAAUUUUACAACCUUUAUUCCUGGGAGAUUGGGUUUGGCAUCCGAUAUGGUCAAUCUAGGACAAAUGCACAGAAAAGCAAAACCAGUCAAGACAUCGUUUGCGGUUGUGCGGGAAGGCCAAAGAAAGAAAACACCAAGUCAGUAGCCUAUACCCUUACCGUCGCGAUUUGAAGGCCUCCGACCAGAUCUUCCUCCCAACCACGACUUGGGUUGCGCGGCCCCGGGCUUUGCUGGCGUGCUGGCAGUCGAGCGAGCCCCACCACGGCGACAAGCCGACGACCAUCACAUUCUCCUUCGCGUCCUACGGCCGGAUCCACCCGGUGCGACUACCUACAGGCCGGUGUGGUGGAUCUUAUUUACGUUUACGUUACCACUGGACGAAACGAACAACUCCGGAUCAUGUAUAACUCGAGACAUGCAAUUUUGUUGUCGGUGUCAUGGAUUUUUCAUAAUUUGUUUGUUUCUUCCAGCUCUCCUUUCUACCUGCAUACUUCUGUCUUCUUCUUUUUAUAUAAAACUCCAGUGCUACAACGAUGGAUCUUGGAUCUUGUAGAAUGCCAUCACUUGCGACUUUUGUUGCCAGUCGUUAGGUGAUAUGGAUUUGUGCUACAGGUACAGGCCGGAGACCUCAGAUCUUAUUUUCUGGUCUGACUUCGUAUUCUCAUGUGUGCAUCCCUCCGGCCGCUGCUGUCCAAGAAAAUUGAUGCAUGUAUGCGCUCUCAUGUGUGCAUAUCCAUAUUCUUGUAUGCCUAGUAUAUCUUUCUUUUAAG